rnacentral:rRNA from 1 species
AUUGAACGCUGGCGGCAUGCUUUACACAUGCAAGUCGAACGGUAACGGGGACUUCGGUCUGCCGACGAGUGGCGAACGGGUGAGUAAUAUAUCGGAACGUGCCCAGUAAUGGGGGAUAGCUCGGCGAAAGCCGGAUUAAUACCGCAUACGCCCUGAGGGGGAAAGUGGGGGAUCUUCGGACCUCACGUUAUUGGAGCGGCCGAUAUCAGAUUAGCUAGUUGGUGGGGUAAAGGCCUACCAAGGCGACGAUCUGUAGCUGGUCUGAGAGGAUGAUCAGCCACACUGGGACUGAGACACGGCCCAGACUCCUACGGGAGGCAGCAGUGGGGAAUAUUGGACAAUGGGCGCAAGCCUGAUCCAGCAAUGCCGCGUGUGUGAAGAAGGCCUGCGGGUUGUAAAGCACUUUCAGUGGGGAAGAACAGGCCUGGGCUAAUACCCCAGGUGUCUGACGUUACCCACAGAAGAAGCACCGGCUAACUCCGUGCCAGCAGCCG